ensembl:lncRNA
GUUGAGCUGUGCUGCCUCCCAACACCUCAUUAACCACGGAGCAUUCCUCUCAUUAGACUUCUGCACUCAGAAAUCACCACCUCUGAUACACACUGACACCCAACUGGGGGAAAAUGUCAACACUUUGUCUGAAAAACCCCGAGGAGGCCGCAGUGAUGGCUGCAGGCAGAUGAGCAAGGAGGGGUGGCGGUACCUGGAGAAACCACCCUGUGCUCCGAGAGCUUUGUCCUCAGGGUGAGAGGUGAGUGGAAAAAUAACUCUUGGAAGACUUAAUGAAAGCAUUGCUCAAUAUCUUCCCCAGGAGGUGUGUGGCUGCGAGGGGUCAGCGCCGGUGCCACCGCUCGGCCCCCAGAAGGGCGGCACACAGCGCGGGGCUCUGCGCUCCGCUCAGCGCUCUGUACGCGGAGUGUCCGCCCGGCACCGGGAGCGGAGCGGAGCGGCCGAAGUCGCGGCCAUCGCUGCACGGGGAGCGCUGCAGCUUUUUUCCCCCUUUAAAUCUCACCCUUUACAUUAAAUAAACAGCUCCCUGACGCGCUGCCAGUUGUUAGCGAGGAAUGUAAAUCUGGGUCUAAACGGCUCCCAUCCGCUAUCCGCGGAUUACACGGAAAUGCCCAUGAAAGACGGCUCGGGUCGGCUCCGUCCCUCGGAAGCCGCUCUUCCACCGGCGGAUUUAAAAGGGAGCAGAACCCCCGAACGCAGCGCAGCUGUCCGCGCCCGGAGCCGCCAUCUGCGCUCUCCCCGCCGUGUCCCCCCGCCGGCCGCCAGCAGGUGGCAGUGCCGAGGCGCUGUGCGCGCACCGCCGGGGGUUUGGGGGGGGCCGCCCGGGUCCCGUCCGUCCGCUCCGCCGACUCGGGAAGGAUGCAAAGCGCCGACAUCUGCGACCGCAUCGGGACCCCAGACGAAGCGGGAGGGCACGUCUGGGAACCGCGGUCCCCAUAGCGCAGCACCUCCUCGCCCCCUCCAUUCCAUCUCUUGUGUCGGGGUGCCUGGAGCCCCCCCAGCAGCGCCCGUCCGGACUAAUGGGAGUAAUGCGCUGGGGAACCCACGCGGCCAAAGAGCCACAUCCCCGUGGGGAGCAGGCAGGGAAAGAGGGGUUGGGCUCCUGCGAGCCGGAAUGGAGCCUUGGAUCACACACGGAACACUCAUCCCACAAAGCUGCUUCUCCUUCCUUUCCCUUCAACCCAGCGGGCUGCUUUGCCCAUGAGACAGCACUCAGACCGAGCCUGAAAAGCCAAAACAACUGAAGCAAGAAAGCCUGAAAUAGUCUAUUAUUAAGCUAUGGGAACUGAUGGGAAUCCAAGCAAAAGGAAAGCUUGCGUUUCCGCAGCUUUCCUGUGGUUGGCAUUUUGGAAAGCCCGCUGGAGGACACACACAUCUCGACACUGGGCGGCCAGGGAGAGGGCUGCAGCCACGGAGCCAUCGGCACUGUCCCCAGCAUCGUCCCCAGCAUCGUGCCCCAACACACUGCCCCUCCGGCCAGGGAUCUGAUACUGUGUCCAUCCGGUGUUUAAACAGGAGCAAUUUCCAUGGUGAAUGUCACAUUAGGAUGAGUGGAGGAACUCACGAGAGCUUGAGAAAGCUCCAGAAACCCUCCACCUCAAAGCACGGCUGUGGCCUCCCUAUAGCUUUGCACAGGCUGGGCUGUUUGUAACACGCACAUCAAACUGUUCCGGUGGCUCUGGGUGCCGCUACCCUCCGCUCCCUGGUCAGGUCCCGGCUAUGGGGAGUGCUGCACCGCCCACCCCCCUCCCGGGGCCCCCAGGCAGCUGCAGCUCAACUCGGCGCAGCCCCGGAGGCGGUCCCUCGGAUGGCGGUUACCUGCUCCUCGGCCCUUCCUGCCUCUCGGGCUUUUCCCUUCUCUGCUAACUCGGUGCUGCAGGAAACUCUGCUUCCCAC